AGUGAACGCUGGCGGUAGGCCUAACACAUGCAAGUCGAACGGCAGCACAGUAAGAGCUUGCCCUUACGGGUGGCGAGUGGCGGACGGGUGAGGAAUACAUCGGAAUCUACUUUUUCGUGGGGGAUAACGUAGGGAAACUUACGCUAAUACCGCAUACGACCUACGGGUAAAAGCAGGGGAUCUUCGGACCUUGCGCGAUUGAAUGAGCCGAUGUCGGAUUAGCUAGUUGGCGGGGUAAAGGCCCACCAAGGCGACGAUCCGUAGCUGGUCUGAGAGGAUGAUCAGCCACACUGGAACUGAGACACGGUCCAGACUCCUACGGGAGGCAGCAGUGGGGAAUAUUGGACAAUGGGCGCAAGCCUGAUCCAGCCAUACCGCGUGGGUGAAGAAGGCCUUCGGGUUGUAAAGCCCUUUUGUUGGGAAAGAAAAGCAGCAGGUUAAUACCCCGCUGUUCUGACGGUACCCAAAGAAUAAGCACCGGCUAACUUCGUG
rnacentral:rRNA from 1 species